GUAGGUGAACCUGCGGAAGGAUCAUUGGGGAGAUUGGUGAGGGGAGAGAUGAGAGUUGGAAUGAGGGAGAUAAAUAAUCAUAUUAAUUCAACAAACAAACACAACUGCUGACAAUGGAUCUCUGGGCUCUU
rnacentral:misc_RNA from 1 species